rnacentral:rRNA from 1 species
CCUACGGGAGGCAGCAGUGGGGAAUUUUGGACAAUGGGGGCAACCCCGAUCCAGCAAUGCCGCGUGAGUGAAGAAGGCCUUCGGGUUGUAAAGCUCUUUUGUCAGGGAAGAAACGGUAGUAGCUAAUAUCUACUACUAAUGACGGUACCUGAAGAAUAAGCACCGGCUAACUACGUGCCAGCAGCCGCGGUAAU